rnacentral:rRNA from 1 species
GAUGAACGCUAGCUACAGGCUUAACACAUGCAAGUCGAGGGGAAACGACAUCGAAAGCUUGCUUUUGAUGGUCGUCGACCGGCGCACGGCUGAGUAACGCGUAUCCAACCUGCCCAUCACUUGGGAAUAACCUUGCGAAUGUAAGACUAUUACCCAAUGAUAUCCCACGAAGGCAUCGGAAUGGGAUUAAAGUUUUAUCGGGGCUGGAUGGGGAUGCGUUUGAUUAGCUUGUUGGCGGUUUAACGGCCGACCAAGGGAACGAUCAGUAGGGGUUCUAAGAGGAAGGUGCCCCACAUUGGAACUGAGACCAUGUCCAAACAGCUACGGGAGGAAGCAGUGAGGAAUAUAGGUGAAAGGAAGAGAGCCCAAACCAGGCAAGUAGCGUGCAGGAAGACGGCCCUAUGGGUUGUGGACUGCUUUUAUAAGAGAGCAAAGUGGGUUACGUGUGACUUAUUGACUGUAACUGAUGAAUAAGGACCGGCUAAUUCCGUG